CCUACGGGUGGCAGCAGUGAGGAAUAUUGGUCAAUGGACGCAAGUCUGAACCAGCCAUGUAGCGUGCAGGAUGACGGCCCUACGAGUUGUAAACUGCUUUUGUACGAGAAUAAACUCAGACACGUGUACCUUUCUGUAUGUAUUUUAUGAAUAAGGAUCGGCUAACUCCGUGCCAGCAGCCGCGGUAAUACGGAGGGUCCGAGCGUUAUCCGGAUUUAUUGGGGUUAAAGGGAGCGUAGGUGGGUUAUUAAGUCAGUUGUGAAAUUUUGCGGCUCAACCGUAAAACUGCAAUUGAUACUGGCAGUCUUGAGUAUAGUAGAGGUAGGUGGAAUUCGUGGUGUAGGGGUGAAAUGCGUAGAGAUCAAGAAGAACACUGAUUGCGAAGGCGGCCUACUAGAACGCAACUGACACUGAUGCGCGAAAGCGCGGGUAUCGAACAGGAUUAGAUACCCUAGUAGUC
rnacentral:rRNA from 1 species